AACGAACGCUGGCGGCAUGCCUAACACAUGCAAGUCGGACGAGACCUUCGGGUCUAGUGGCGCACGGGUGCGUAACGCGUGGGAACCUGCCCUUAGGUUCGGAAUAACUCCCCGAAAGGGGUGCUAAUACCGGAUAAUGUCUUCGGACCAAAGAUUUAUCGCCUUUGGAUGGGCCCGCGUUGGAUUAGCUAGUUGGUAGGGUAAAAGCCUACCAAGGCGACGAUCCAUAGCUGGUCUGAGAGGAUGAUCAGCCACACUGGGACUGAGACACGGCCCAGACUCCUACGGGAGGCAGCAGUGGGGAAUAUUGGACAAUGGGCGAAAGCCUGAUCCAGCAAUGCCGCGUGAGUGAUGAAGGCCUUAGGGUUGUAAAGCUCCUUUACCCGGGAUGAUAAUGACAGUACCGGGAGAAUAAGCUCCGGCUAACUCCGUG
rnacentral:rRNA from 1 species